CUGGAAAGCCGGAUGGCCGCUUGCCUUAGGGUGAGAGGAAAGUCCGGGCUUCACGGAAACACGGUGCCGGGUAACCCCCGGGCGGCGUAAGCCGAUGGAAAGUGCAACAGAGAGUAUACCGCCUUUUUCGAAAGGUAAGGGUGAAAGGGUGCGGUAAGAGCGCACCGCGUGUCUGGUAACAGAUCACGGCAUGGUAAACCCCGCCGGAAGCAAGAUCAAAUAGGGACCGCGCAUAGUAAGUUUCCGCGCUUGCGGUCCGGGUAGAUUGCUAAAGUGUAUUAGUAAUAAUGCACGCAGAUGAAUGGUCAUCGCCUGCUUCGGCAGGUACAGAACCCUGCUUACAGGCUUUCCAGCAUU
rnacentral:RNase_P_RNA from 1 species